rnacentral:tRNA from 1 species
UCUUUAAUAGCUUAGGGGUUAGAGCAAACAGCUGUUAACUGUUAGGUCAUAGGUUCAAAUCCUAUUUAAAGAG